GUUCUGCAUAUAUUUUCCAUGAAGAGAUACUCAUGCUAGAUCAUGGUGAUGAUAAUAAUUUUCUGGAAUGUGGCUGAUUCCCUGGAUCUUCCUUCUUGACCCUCAGGAAGACAGGAGGCAACUGAGUUGAACCCCAGAUGCCAGAAAAAAUGGCACAAGAUGAACUUUUAUUAAGAUGAUCUACUUAUUAAGAAGUAAUGAGAUAAAGGAUUUAUUUUAA
rnacentral:lncRNA from 1 species